rnacentral:rRNA from 1 species
GAUGAACGCUGGCGGCGUGCCUAACACAUGCAAGUCGAACGGAGUUCUUAAGGAAUGCGACUUCGGUCAAAUGACUUUUGAACUUAGUGGCGGACGGGUGAGUAACGCGUGAGCAACCUGCCUUUCAGAGGGGGAUAACGUUCUGAAAAGAACGCUAAUACCGCAUAUAAUCAAGAAACCGCAUGAUUUUUGAUGAAAGGAGCAAUCCGCUGAGAGAUGGACUCGCGUCUGAUUAGCUAGAUGGUGGGGUAACGGCCUACCAUGGCGACGAUCAGUAGCCGGACUGAGAGGUUGAACGGCCACAUUGGGACUGAGACACGGCCCAGACUCCUACGGGAGGCAGCAGUGGGGGGAUAUUGCGCAAUGGGGGAAACCCUGACGCAGCAAUGCCGCGUGAAGGAAGAAGGUUUCGGAUUGUAAACUUCUUUGUUAAGGACGAAGAAUGACGGUACUUAACGAAUAAGCUCCGGCUAACUAUGUG